rnacentral:rRNA from 1 species
AUUCCAGCUCCAGUAGCGUAUAUUAAAGUUGUUGCAGUUAAAAAGCUCGUAGUUGGAUUUCUGACUUCAGAUACCUGACCCUCCCUCGCUAGAGGUGUGUGUGCCGGAGUAUUUGUAUCAUCCUUUCAGUGAUCGGCUCUACCCUUAACCGGGUCGGAGCUGCUAGCUGGAUCUUUUACUUUGAAGAAAUUGGAGUGUUUAAAGCAGGCUUACGCCAGAACAUAUUAGCAUGGAAUAAUAAUUUAGGACUUUUGUUCUAUUUUGUUGGUUUCUAGGACGAAAGUAAUGAUUGAUAGGGAUAGUUGGGGGUGCUAGUAUUCGGCGGCCAGAGGUGAAAUUCUUUGAUCCGCUGAAGACUAACUUAUGCGAAAGCAUUCACCAAGGAUGUUUUCAUCG